AAUAAAUCCUAAGAUUUCGAUAAUUAUUUGGUAACUUAAUUGCAAUACCAGAAAUCAUAGUAAUGUUAAUAUUUAGAAAAUCUAAAACAUUUAUAAAGUAUAAAUAUGUUAAAGUUAUCAUUUUCAAACAAUUUUAUAACAUAGAACUUGCAGUGCAAUAUGUAGAAAUAUUGUUAUAAUAAUCGAUUUUGUUUAUAUUUUAAGAAUAUAGAUAAUGUGAACUGAUUGUAUUUCCACUUUUAUUGCACCUAAACAACAAAAAUGAAAUGCUGUCCUAACAGUAACAUGACAAGAACAAUGUUAUAACCACAUCUAUAACUAUACAUAGCAUUCCAACAUUAUAGUAUAUACUGAUUGCCACUACAAGUAACACUUCAAUUGUUCAAUAUUAUAUAAAAAAAUGAUUGCUGAUAAUAAUUAUGAAUAUAAAAUUUA